rnacentral:rRNA from 1 species
GAAUUUUGGACAAUGGGGGCAACCCUGAUCCAGCCAUCCCGCGUGUGCGAUGAAGGCCUUCGGGUUGUAAAGCACUUUUGGCAGGGAAGAAAAGGCUCUGGCUAAUACCUGGAGCUGCCGACGGUACCAGCAGAAUAAGCACCGGCUAACUACGUGCCAGCCGCCGCGGUAAUACGUAGGGUGCAAGCGUGAGUCGGAAUUACUGGGCGUAAAGCGUGCGGAGGCGGUUUGGCAAGAAGGAUGUGAAAUCCCAGGGCUUAACCUUGGAACUGCAUUCUUAACUGCCAGGCUAGAGUAUGUCAGAGGGGGGUAGAAUUCCACGUGUAGCAGUGAAAUGCGUAGAGAUGUGGAGGAAUACCGAUGGCGAAGGCAGCCCCCUGGGAUAAUACUGACGCUCAUGCACGAAAGCGUGGGGAGCAAACAG